rnacentral:rRNA from 1 species
UGGGGAAUAUUGGACAAUGGGCGAAAGCCUGAUCCAGCCAUGCCGCGUGUGUGAAGAAGGUCUUCGGAUUGUAAAGCACUUUAAGUUGGGAGGAAGGGCAUUAACCUAAUACGUUAGAGUUUUGACGUUACCGACAGAAUAAGCACCGGCUAACUCUGUGCCAGCAGCCGCGGUAAUACAGAGGGUGCAAGCGUUAAUCGGAAUUACUGGGCGUAAAGCGCGCGUAGGUGGUUUGUUAAGUUGGAUGUGAAAGCCCCGGGCUCAACCUGGGAACUGCAUCCAAAACUGGCAAGCUAGAGUACGGUAGAGGGUGGUGGAAUUUCCUGUGUAGCGGUGAAAUGCGUAGAUAUAGGAAGGAACACCAGUGGCGAAGGCGACCACCUGGACUGAUACUGACACUGAGGUGCGAAAGCGUGGGGAGCAAACA